UACAGAGGUCCCAAGCGUUGUUCGGAUUCACUGGGCGUAAAGGGUGCGUAGGCGGUCGGGUAAGUCUGCUGUGAAAUCUCCGGGCUCAACCCGGAAAUGGCAUUGGAUACUAUUCGGCUCGAGGUCUGGAGGGGGGACUGGAAUACUUGGUGUAGCAGUGAAAUGCGUAGAUAUCAAGUGGAACACCAGUGGCGAAGGCGAGUCCCUGGACAGAUCCUGACGCUGAGGCACGAAAGCUAGGGGAGCAAACAGG
rnacentral:rRNA from 1 species